rnacentral:rRNA from 1 species
UCAGAUUGCAGGCUGCAACUCGCCUGCAUGAAGUCGGAAUUGCUAGUAAUCGUAGGUCAGCAUACUACGGUGAAUACGUUCCCGGGCCUUGUACACACCGCCCGUCAAACCAUGAGAGUUGGCAACACCCGAAGUCGGUAGUCUAACCGCAAGGAGGACGCCGCCGAAGGUGGGGUUGAUGAUUAGGGUUAAGUCGUAACAAGGUACC